rnacentral:rRNA from 1 species
AUGGGCAUAGGAGUACAUAUUCAGUUUGAAGGAGGAAUCAGAAUAAACAUCCUCAGCUCUGCAGCUGGUAGUUUUGCAUCAUCAGUUCAUCACCAUUGCAGGCACAGCCAUGGCCCUUCAAGUUGCUGCUGCAACUGCAUCUCGGGUUACCAACAGGCCAAAAUCUCACCGAGUUGCUUGCCGUACGCCCUCCCUCCAUACUUCCACAGUUGCACUUGGCAAGAGGAGAAGCAUAGAGUAUAUCUGAUACAUACCAGGGCAAUAACACCCCGUUCGGAUGUUGAUACUGAGGCCCAGAUUUUGGCAUUGGGCAUUAGACAGCCCGAUUAUCUCUGUUUGGAUGGCCAUGGAAUUGACGCUCUGUAUUGGCCCAAGAUAUUGGUCGGCCUGCUUUCUUUCCCCGUUUCUACUGUCCCGAAAUCAGAGGCUCCUAGAAGCAGCGCGCGGGAGGAGAUGAAGGGCGGCGGCGCGGCGCACAUCGAACUCCCCAACGGCGCAGGAAACGGGAGAUGCAUGGGGAAGUGCAAUCGCUAG